UCAGUCGACUCCUACGGGGAGGCAGCAGUGGGGAAUAUUGCACAAUGGGGGAAACCCUGAUGCAGCCAUGCCGCGUGUGUGAAGAAGGCCUUCGGGUUGUAAAGCACUUUCAGUAGGGAGGAAGGUAGUGUAGUUAACACCUGCACUAUUUGACGUUACCUACAGAAGAAGCACCGGCUAACUCCGUGCCAGCAGCCGCGGUAAUACGGAGGGUGCGAGCGUUAAUCGGAAUUACUGGGCGUAAAGCGCAUGCAGGCGGCCUGUUAAGUCAGAUGUGAAAGCCCGGGGCUUAACCUCGGAAUUGCAUUUGAAACUGGCAGGCUAGAGUCUUGUAGAGGGGGGUAGGAAUUUCAGGUGUAGCGGUGAAAUGCGUAGAGAUCUGAAGGAAUACCAGUGGCGAAGGCGGCCCCCUGGACAAAGACUGACGCUCAGAUGCGAAAGCGUGGGGAGCAAACAGAAUUAGAUACCCUGGUAG
rnacentral:rRNA from 1 species